GAUGAACGCUAGCUACAGGCUUAACACAUGCAAGUUGAGGGGCAGCAUGGUCUUAGCUUGCUAAGGCCGAUGGCGACCGGCGCACGGGUGAGUAACACGUAUCCAACCUGCCGUCUACUCUUGGACAGCCUUCUGAAAGGAAGAUUAAUACAAGAUGGCAUCAUGAGUCCGCAUGUUCACAUGAUUAAAGGUAUUCCGGUAGACGAUGGGGAUGCGUUCCAUUAGAUAGUAGGCGGGGUAACGGCCCACCUAGUCUUCGAUGGAUAGGGGUUCUGAGAGGAAGGUCCCCCACAUUGGAACUGAGACACGGUCCAAACUCCUACGGGAGGCAGCAGUGGGGAAUAUUGCGCAAUGGGGGCAAACCCUGACGCAGCAACGCCGCGUGAUUGAUGAAGGUCUUCGGAUUGUAAAAAUCUUUAAUCAGGGACGAAGAAAAUGACGGUACCUGAAGAAUAAGCUCCGGGCUAAACUAACGUGCCAGCAGCCGCCGU
rnacentral:rRNA from 1 species